rnacentral:rRNA from 1 species
UACGUAGGGUGCAAGCGUUGUCCGGAAUUAUUGGGCGUAAAGAGCUCGUAGGCGGUUUGUCACGUCGGAUGUGAAAUCCCGGGGCUUAACCUCGGGUCUGCAUUCGAUACGGGCUGACUAGAGUUCGGUAGGGGAGACUGGAAUUCCUGGUGUAGCGGUGAAAUGCGCAGAUAUCAGGAGGAACACCGGUGGCGAAGGCGGCUCACUGGACCGGUUCUGACGCUGAUGCGCGAAAACGUGGGGAGCAAACGGG